CCUACGGGAGGCAACAGUGAGGAAUAUUGGUCAAUGGACGAGAGUCUGAACCAGCCAAGUAGCGUGAAGGAUGACUGCCCUAUGGGUUGUAAACUUCUUUUAUAAAGGAAUAAAACGAGGCACGUGUGCCUUUUUGCAUGUACUUUAUGAAUAAGGAUCGGCUAACUCCGUGCCAGCAGCCGCGGUAAUACGGAGGAUCCGAGCGUUAUCCGGAUUUAUUGGGUUUAAAGGGAGCGUAGAUGGGUUGUUAAGUCAGUUGUGAAAGUUUGCGGCUCAACCGUAAAAUUGCAAUUGAUCCUGGCAGUCUUGAGUACAGUUGAGGUAGGCGGAAUGCGUGGUGUAGCGGUGAAAUGCUUAGAUAUCACGAAGAACCCCGAUUGCGAAGGCAGCUUACUAAACUGUGACUGACAUUGAUGCUCGAAAGUGUGGGUAUCGAACAGGAUUAGAUACCCGGGUAGUC
rnacentral:rRNA from 1 species